ACGUUCGGAAACGGACGCUAAUACCGCAUACGUCCUACGGGAGAAAGCAGGGGACCUUCGGGCCUUGCGCUAUCAGAUGAGCCUAGGUCGGAUUAGCUAGUUGGUGAGGUAAUGGCUCACCAAGGCGACGAUCCGUAACUGGUCUGAGAGGAUGAUCAGUCACACUGGAACUGAGACACGGUCCAGACUCCUACGGGAGGCAGCAGUGGGGAAUAUUGGACAAUGGGCGAAAGCCUGAUCCAGCCAUGCCGCGUGUGUGAAGAAGGUCUUCGGAUUGUAAAGCACUUUAAGUUGGGAGGAAGGGCAUUAACCUAAUACGUUAGUGUUUUGACGUUACCGACAGAAUAAGCACCGGCUAACUCUGU
rnacentral:rRNA from 1 species